rnacentral:RNase_P_RNA from 2 species
UCUGCAAACCGGUCUAUCGUCCGUCAGCCGACGGAAGGAAAGUCCGGAUAACACAGAGCAACGCACCACCUAACGGGUGGAAAAACGAUCAGUGAUGAUCGCGACUGGAAAGUGCCACAGAAAAUAACAGCCUCUCCGCCACGGCGGACGCGAUGGUGAAAAUGUGUUGCCUUUAUAUCGAAAGAUAUAAGGAGCGCACAGCAUUUGUUAGUAAUAAUGAAUGCGGGUAAACCCUGCGUGUUACAAUGCCAAAUAUGUCGGAGUAAAAGAAAAGCUGCUCGCUUUAAUUCUUCGGCGGGUAGGCAGCAAGAUCCCAUGGGCGACCUUGGGACCAGAUAAAUGAUAGAAAAAUUUACCAUGUAGAGGUAAGGUGAUUUAUUCACUUUUGCUGAAGCUAGGUGAGUCAAACAGAAUCCGGCUUAUGAGUUUGCAGAAAUU